CCUCAUCUUCGGAUGGAUCCUCCUCCGAAUCACUUAUCUCAAUUGGUUCGUAGUUUUCGUCGAUAACUUGGACACCCAGAUAUAGAGCUCUAAAUUUGUCCUCCAAGGCGAUCUUGAAUGCUCAAAUUAUUUGUCAAUGCGCCCCGGUCUUUUAACGAUCAUUUGAUUAUAUAUCUCGGCGACAGUGUAGUAAAGAUCUUGCGGAACGGAAUCAACAACUUUAAGUGCAGCCUCAAUAUCACUAACCUGUCGUCCGUAGUCCAUGGUCCUAAGCCAUAAAAAACGGAUACGAUCAAGAUUCUCUAAUAUUCCCAUUCGGCCGUUCCAUUUGCGGUUAAAGAAUCUAUGUUUGGAGGCCUUGUGCAAUUCUUUCAUUGUUGCGUGGAUGCCGGCCAUUCUAAUGAACAGAAACCAAUUGUAAGAAAAAAUAAUCGAUGGAUUAGUGAUAAUAUGGGGAUUCACUUUACUUUAUAAAAUAUAAGUCCAGAUCAAAUAUAAAGAUGAUGAUGAUGAUGAUGAAGAAAAUUUUCAAUGUUGAAAAAAUGUAUCUGAACUGUUAUUUAUGUAAUGAUAUUGUCAAUGAUAAACUAAAGUUGCUGCAUCUAUUACUAUUCUCACCUGCAAACAUAAACUAAGUAUCUUCAAACUGGUCAUGGCCCAUAAGAUAUUCAGAUUUUCAGCAUCGAAUACAAUAGUUCAAACACAAACAUGAAUGAUUACAUAUACAAACAGAAUCCAAUAACACAGAAUCCAAUAACCUUGCAUGAUAGAAAUAGGAACACAAACACAAACAUGAAUAGUUCAAACACAGAUAGAAUAGUUCAAGCAUGAAUAGUUCAGCCUAGUGCAUGAUAAAUAUUUAUUGUUAUUAUUUCGGACGGGAAACCACUUUGAUUGCGGUUCAAGUGCGGUUAAGUCCUUGAUUGCUUUAUAUAACAGAGAAGCAUCCAAAUGAAAGCAAAACUCCACAUAUUUUCCAAAUGCCCACUACAAAACAGAGUAUUGAAAUCGGAAAAAUGGAGCAAAACCGAGCACAUGCGUGAUUACCUAGAUAAUACGAAACAGAGAAAGAGCAGAUCCUUCAAUCGUCGGCGCCGGUGUCCGCGUCUGUAAAUUAAUUGGGUACGGGAGGGGUCUGUGGUAGUAAUUGUCUGCAAAUUCAAAAAUUUAUAUAAAACUCAAGGUGUAGAGCAAUAUGGGACGGAUGAAAUCCGCACCUUUCCAAAUCGAUCACUACCAAUUACUUACCCUGAUUCAUGGAUCUACAGCGAUGGGGAAGAAACGUUUGCAACCAUGGAUGAAGCACCUCCCAAAUUAGGGCCCUCGAGAUUGAAAGAGAGAUAUACUGAAUCUGCCUUCUUUUGCAGCCAUGGAUGAAUCUGUAGUUGUUGAGAAGAAGGGUUUGCAGCCAUGGAUGACGCACAUCCCUAAUUUGUGUCAUCGAAAUUCAAAGACAAAGACUGAUUUUGCGCCUACUGUUUGAGAAAUUGCCUAUGUGAAGAUUAUGGAAACUGUUGCGGAUUUGAAGAUGAAGGGAUUCCAUAUCUGAGUGGCUAUGAAUGGGGGAAACAAAUAAUCC
rnacentral:lncRNA from 1 species